rnacentral:RNase_P_RNA from 1 species
AGAGUCGAUUGGACAGUCGCUGCCUCUUGCUGUUUACAGCAAGGGGGGGAGGAAAGUCCGGGCUCCAUAGGGCAGAGUGCCAGGUAACACCUGGGAGGCGUGAGCCUACGGAAAGUGCCACAGAAAAUAACCGCCUAAGCGCUUCGGCGCCGGUAAGGGUGAAAAGGUGCGGUAAGAGCGCACCGC